rnacentral:tRNA from 1 species
AGUAAUGUGUCUGAUUUAAGUGAUAAAUUGUAAAUUUAUUAAAAAAAAAUAUUUUUUCUUUACUA